GGGGACAUUGGUGACAGGUGGUGCAUGGUUGUCGUCAGCUCGUGUCGUGAGAUGUUGGGUUAAGUCCCGCAACGAGCGCAACCCUUGUCUUUAGUUGCCAUCAUUAAGUUGGGCACUCUAGAGAGACUGCCAGGGAUAACCUGGAGGAAGGUGGGGAUGACGUCAAAUCAUCAUGCCCCUUAUGCUUAGGGCUACACACGUGCUACAAUGGGUAGUACAGAGGGUUGCCAAGCCGUAAGGUGGAGCUAAUCCCUUAAAGCUACUCUCAGUUCGGAUUGUAGGCUGAAACUCGCCUACAUGAAGCUGGAGUUACUAGUAAUCGCAGAUCAGAAUGCUGCGGUGAA
rnacentral:rRNA from 1 species